rnacentral:rRNA from 1 species
CAGUCGCCACGGGAAUACGAAGGGGGCUAGCGUUGCUCGGAAUGACUGGGCGUAAAGGGCGCGUAGGCGGCGGCCAAAGUCAGGCGUGAAAUUCCCGGGCUCAACCUGGGGGCUGCGUUUGAUACUUGGUUGCUUGAGUGGGGAAGAGGGUCGUGGAAUUCCCAGUGUAGAGGUGAAAUUCGUAGAUAUUGGGAAGAACACCGGUGGCGAAGGCGGCGACCUGGUCCUUUACUGACGCUGAGGAGCGAAAGCGUGGGGAGCGAACAGGAUUAGAUACCCCUGUAGUCCCUGUCUCUUAUAC